rnacentral:rRNA from 1 species
GGAGAAAAGCAGGGGAUCGCAAGACCUUGCGCUUUUGGAGCGGCCGAUGUCUGAUUAGCUUGUUGGUGAGGUAAAGGCUUACCAAGGCUUCGAUCAGUAGCUGGUCUGAGAGGACGGCCAGCCACACUGGGACUGAGACACGGCCCAGACUCCUACGGGAGGCAGCAGUGGGGAAUUUUGGACAAUGGGGGCAACCCUGAUCCAGCCAUGCCGCGUGAGUGAAGAAGGCCUUCGGGUUGUAAAGCUCUUUCAGCCGGAACGAAACGGUUACGAUUAAUACCCGUAACUACUGACGGUACCGGAAGAAGAAGCACCGGCUAACUACGUGCCAGCAGCCGCGGUAAUACGUAGGGUGCGAGCGUUAAUCGGAAUUACUGGGCGUAAAGCGUGCGCAGGUGGUUUUGUAAGUCAGAUGUGAAAUCCCCGGGCUUAACCUGGGAACUGCGUUUGAAACUACAAGGCUAGAGUGUGGCAGAGGGGGGUGGAAUUCCGCGUGUAGCAGUGAAAUGCGUAGAGAUGUGGAGGAACACCGAUGGCGAAGGCAGCCCCCUGGGUCAACACUGACGCUCAGGCACGAAAGCAUGGGGAGCAAACAGGAUUAGAUACCCGGGUAGUCCAUGCCCUAAACGAUGUCAACUAGUUGUCGGGUCUUAACGGGCUUGGUAACGUAGCUAACGCGUGAAGUUGACCGCCUAGGGAGUACGAUCGCAAGAUUAAAACUCAAAGGAAUUGACGGGGACCCGCACAAGCGGUGGAUUAUGUGGAUUAAUUCGAUGCAACGCGAAAAACCUUACCUACCCUUGACAUGUAUUGAAGCCCGCAGAGAUGUGGGUGUGCCCGAAAGGGAACGAUAACACAGGUGCUGCAUGGCUGUCGUCAGCUCGUGUCGUGAGAUGUUGGGUUAAGUCCCGCAACGAGCGCAACCCUUGUCAUUAAUUGCCAUCAUUUAGUUGGGCACUUUAAUGAGACUGCCGGUGACAAACCGGAGGAAGGUGGGGAUGACGUCAAGUCCUCAUGGCCCUUAUGGGUAGGGCUUCACACGUAAUACAAUGGCG